rnacentral:rRNA from 1 species
UACGUAGGGUGCGAGCGUUAAUCGGAAUUACUGGGCGUAAAGCGUGCGCAGGCGGUCAUGCAAGACAGAUGUGAAAUCCCUGGGCUCAACCUGGGAACUGCAUAUGUGACUGUAUGGCUGGAGUACGGCAGAGGGGGAUGGAAUUCCGCGUGUAGCAGUGAAAUGCGUAGAUAUGCGGAGGAACACCGAUGGCGAAGGCAAUCCCCUGGGCCUGUACUGACGCUCAAGCACGAAAGCGUGGGGAGCAAGCAGG